rnacentral:lncRNA from 1 species
GCACUCAUCUCUGAGUUAUUGAGUUGUAUAGUCUUGGUUUAAAUCUCGAUCUCGUUAUAAACUUCACAAGCAGGGCGAUGCAUCGCAUCGGUGUGUGUGCCAUGCCGGAGGACCCACCUUCCAGCACCGGUCGUUGGUGGAUGUCAAAGAUCCCAUGGUGUCUUCCACAAAGGGCAGAUAACCUUCAAGAACCUUGGUGUUGGCGAGCAGGUCGCUGCUCCCUUUCUGCUCUGGGAUAGUGAGGCAGAGAUUGGCAGGGACUGGGAACAGACAAAAGAGAGAAAGAGAAAGAACGAACGAACACUGUCUCUUUGCUGUGGCAGAGAGUGGUUCUGAGACUGCAACUGCUGGAUCACUCACAUCAUUUUCACAUCGAGGUCGAGUUUCCUGCUUCGAGAGAGACAUGAGAGGAAGGUCUGACUGCACGAAGACUCAUGAAAUAACUUCCUGGGGAUCACUGUAUGUUGUGUGCCAUUGCCUUAGAGGUGUACAUUGUGUUCCAGAUGAAAGUAUCACUUUGUGGAAAUAUCACCACUUCAAACUGCCCACAGAAGGUUCCUCCUGAUGACUCCAUCUUUCUCUUUUUGGAUUCCUCCUGAUACUUCAGUGCUGUACUUGGUCAGUUAUUUGAUUGGCCUUCAGGUGAGAAUCACAUUAGCCCAAUGUAUUCAUCUUGUGCAGUAUUGACAUCG